UUCUGAUUGGCUGGGUCGUGGCUCUGAGGGUCGGGGCGGGUGGUCGCCUUGGCGACUCUGAUGCCGCCAUUGCCCCCGGCGGGUGGGCUGGGGGGAGCUCCUCACCCCAGGAUCUCCCGGGCUGGGAUCUCCCGGCCCCUGGACCUCCCCCGGAGGCUUCCCCACGGCCGGGCACAGCGCCCGAGCCUCCCCUGAGCCACCCGUCCCUCAUGGCCGCGCGGGGUCGGGGCGCCGCCACUGGCACAAGAUGGCGGCCGGGCUGUGAGGGGGAGGCAGCGCUGAGGGAAGUGCUCACCCGCUGCAGGAGCUCAGCGCUUUCUGUUUCCUCCCCUACUGUCGCGGCAAGGUUCGACAGGGCUAGUCAGCCACAGCUCCAGCCUGUGAGAGAGCCCCCAACCCAGCAAGGCACGUGGUUUGGGCUGUUCGUUCACUCCAACUUUUUUCAGGUUCUAGUCUUCAGGUUCUAGAAAAGGUCAUCCUGUUAGCGUGGUCGUGCUCCUGAAACAGAGGAUGGGACUUGGCUGGAAAUGUCGGAGAAUCUGUCACUUGACUGUCUAACAUGCUCUGAGUCAUGCUGUCCCCUCUUUUGUACCGUUCCAAUCGUGUAAGCUGCCACCGGAGUUUCCCUUCCUGAUAAGCAAGAAUGUGCUUUUGUGCAGCGUUCUCAUGCUUUGCCCAGCCCAAGAGAGGAUAAUGCAAAGAGACAUCUCUUUGCUCCGUGCUGUGCCUAAGCUGGCAUUGAGCAGCAUUGGGGAUUUUUAGCUUGCCAGUGCAAAAUGUAGCCCUGGACAGCAUCUGUGUGUGAAAACACUGAUGUGUUGUCACAGUUGCAUGUUCUAGGGGUAAGAGAAAUUUUUUCUUCGAGGUGAUGAGUUGGCAGCUUUCCUGGCAUUUAAUUCCUACCAUGUGUGAGGUUUCUCUUCCCCCCCCCCCCCCCCCCCCCCCCAUUUUUGGAUACCAUUAUCAAGGCCACAGCAUUCUUCCUGUUGAAUGCCAGUUCCCCAAACCCAAAGGAAACGUGUGGUUUCAGACAUUUUGGUGAGUUUCUGAGGCUCAGUGACAAACCAUUAUGAAAACCCAGUGAACGAGACGGAGAUGGAGUUAUACUUAUAACUUAACUAUUUUAAUAAAUCUUAUACAGUGCAUGGUUAUAUCAUUUUCUCCUUCCUUCAGUUACAUCAAUGUACAGGACUUUAUAGCGUUGUCUGUAGGCAGUACAAGUAGAACAGAUGCACAGCUCAGUCACUUGAAAAUUUAUAGAAGUGACUCCUGCAAUAAGGUCUGCUGAGAUAUUUACUUUAGGAAGUGCUCCCAUGCUCCCAGCUUUACAGAACUGUCGUGUACAGUCCCAUUAUAAUCCCUACUAACUAUAAUUCUGUGGGACUUGCUUUCCUCUACACCCAAAGAAAGGAAGGUGGUGUGUUUCCUGGCUCAACACUUGGUUUUAUUUUCAUUUUAGGAAUUAUUUCUCCUGUGCUUGCCAUCCCGCUUCCCCUCUCCACCCUACUCCAGAGCCAGGGCUUCUCAGGAGGAUUGUCCUCUUCAUCCCUCCCUGACAAGUUUGCAGUGGUCACUCUGGGAAGGUGCCGCGGGGAGGCUGCGACUCAACGCUGACCUGUGCGACCCCCUCUGCUGUAUCACCUGCAUUCAGGAAGCAAAGAGCAGCAUAAGCUGAGGUACCUCAGGCCUGCACCCCUCAAUUUUCAGCCCCUGAUGAGUGCAAAUUAGCUCAGACCUUCCCAGGACAGGAGAAGGGCCCACACACAGCAGCAGGAUCAGGAUCAGAAGAGGCUUUCACACACAUCCAGCUCACCCACGUCUUCCUUUGGGUGGCUUAGCUGGAGCCGAGGAUCUGAACAAGAUGCUCUGCACUUCAAACACUUCUUAGAUCUAAACCAUUAUUUAUUUGAAUGAAUAAAUAAAUACAAAAAUAGGAAA